AUGGCUGGCACUGCCCUCUUCAUCCACACCAACUUUGACAUGCUGCAGAAGCACAGCAGGAUAACUGCAGCUGUGGAAACAGUGGAGCUGCUUUGGCAGCAGGCCUUUUCUCCGGCCCGUCUGCAGCUGCAGGCGUUCCAGCUGCGGGAGGAAGCACGGAAGAUCACAGAGCAGAUGGAAACGCUUCAUCGAGAGAAGCUCCAAUCUUACAAAAUGGAGAUUGCAAAGGAUGCUGCAAAUGCAGAGAUGUCGGUGUCCCAUUUUGAGGCAUCCAUUCACACUCCUGCAAUGGCCCUUGUUCGCAGUGCUGAAGAUUUGAUCCACACAGUAGCCGAGAUCCUGCCAUCGGAUGGUCAGAGCAGGGAGUGUUGGGUUCUGGAUCUUGAGAGGCUGAAGGACAAACUACGCUCUGCUGUGCACUUCAUUCUCCAAACCCUCAGAGCGUUUUCCAACUACCAUCAUCUCUUCAACAAGGCAAGCAGCUGGUACAGUCUGGUCCUCUGUGAGAACUUCCUCCAGGAGCUGGUUUCUGGUGUGAAUGUGGCGCAGCAGCACAGGAGGAUUUAUGGAUCGAUUCCCGCAUGGAGGCACAAUCUGUCCACGUUCCUAAAGAAGAAUCCCCCACCAGAUAUGGAGGAGCUGGUUCAUCUGGCUCAUCUGUCCAAUGUCAUCCCAGAUGAUGCAGUCCAACAGGCGGGCAAGCAGAUGUCUCGGCGGUGCAUGACUCUGAGGAACCUUGUAAUGUCUUCAGGGCCUGUGGCUGUGGGUCACCUCCAGCAGGCGUUACAGUGGCAGUAUGAGUUGUUGCGGGGCAGCAAUGUAAAUAAUUCCUGUGCUGACAGUGUUGCAGACAGAACGGUCAAGGAUAUUCAUGACGGCACUACAGAGUGCAACCUCAUUAAACGUGAAGUGUCUCCUUCGACUGCAGGGAUCGUGUCAGCAGAGGGCAAACCCCCUGCCCUCAGCUCAUUUGACUCAGGCAUUGAUGGAGUGGGGAGCAGCCACCUGGAGGCCUGGGGCGGGAGGGAAGGAGUGGAAGGUCUGUCUAGAUUAGCUGGCAACAGGAACUCCGUGAAACAGGGCAUGAGCCAUCCUCAAAUCCACAAAGAGAACAUCUCCAGUGUUUCAAAUCCUGAGAAUCUCCGAGAGGAGGGUGACUUUGGCUCUGUGGGAAACUCCUCCAGGGCCUGCAUCCAGAUCGUCCCCGAAGUAACCAAGGAUUCCCUCAACUUUGAGAUCAAAGUGAAGCGCUCAGCUGCGCUGCCUAAUAAUCCUUGGCUGAGCUUGCCAGUAGGAGACCUGGAAAGCUCUUAUACUGUCACCAUCACGCACAACCCAACACCACAACGGACAGACCUACAGUUCCACCAUCCCUCAGACCCCUACUCCCACAGGUCUCAACAUGAGCCCACAGGGACGGACAUGUUGAGCAGUCCACAGAGCACGAACUGGAUAUUACAUUCACAAAGCAGUUUUGAAGAUUUUGAAUUAAGUCCCAUCUGCAACAUACUCUCCAGCACUAAUACAGAAGUAAGAGGAAGUCCAUCUGCACCACAGAAAAAUUCCUACUCUUCUCUGGGAUUCAUAUGA
ensembl:lncRNA